UAACUGACGCAGCCUCGCAAAGGAGUCUCAGGCUGGCUUCUUGCAGCCUGCAAGCCUUAAUGGUUCUAUUUUUUCCCCAUCUUCCCUUCGUAGUGAAUUACUAGAACGCAAUCGGGCACACACACAGGCACGUUUCUCAAAGUGUGGGUGCGUGUGCCUGCCUCCUUGCCUCUGUGUGGAUGUCUCUUCCCCUCCCAUCCUCACCAAAGGAGUUCCCGGUUUGGGUGACCCGCAGGAGGGAGAUUGAAGGAGAGGCCUUGCGCCGAGACUGAGGAGGAGGAGGCUGUUUGAAGGGAGAGGAGCAGCCAGGACUCGCCAGCCAUUCUCUACAACUUUUCCUGUGUCUUUCAAAUAACACAGAUGGAAAAUUAUUCUGAAAAGGGAAACCAUUUCUGUAUUUCCAGAAAGUGGAAACCUGUUUUAGAUUUAUAAGCAGGUUGCGGUGGUUUGAGUGUUGAACUACAGCUCUGGAAACCAAGGCUGAAAUCCCUAUUUGAUCGUGGAAAACCAUUGGUUUACCUUGGGAAAGUAAAGGCAUCCCUUUUGAAUAAAUUUUGGCAAGAAACCCCCAUGGAGUUUGACAUGGCAGCCAUGGCAUUACGGGAAAGCUAGCCCAAUCAAGUCACUUUUUCUAAGUGCUGAACUUGGUGAGAAUGAUCUGGCUUUUAAGAUUUCAGAAAUGGCCCUGUUCUCCUGGAAACGAAUGGCAUUUGUUGGGAAGAUGAAACAUACAAUCAGCAAAUGGGAGUAUCAGUUCAGCUGUACAUAUUUUCACCUCCUGCUCCUGUAGACUGAAUAUUGCAAAUGACAAAGCCAAUACCCUAUACAUCCUGGAAUUUGGUUGCCAAAUAUUUCAAGCCCUUUUGGGCACUUGGGUCCUGAUCCUGUCUUUAAGUGCUCUCACCUGCAAAUGUCUCGCUAUGUCUUCACGGUGAAAGGAUUUGAAAGGAUAAUGUGCACAGAAUUCCAGCUGGACCAUAUGCAAUAUAACCGGAAGUAGACUGAAGAAUUUUUAAAAGUUUUCCAGGAAAUGCUGGGAGAUCCAAAUUUCAAGCACUUGUCAUGACAGCUAAAAGAUACAGGCUACUUUAUACAGAUACCAGUCACAGUUGAGAACAAUGGACCUGAAGAAAUAAUGUGUAAGUCACUUGUAUUAUCAGCAUGCCCAGUCUCCUUGCACUUGUUGACCCAAACCCAUUAGCUAUUCUAUUAUUUAUUUAUUUAUUUAUUUACAACAUUUAUAUGCCGCCCUUCUCACCCCGAAGGGGACUCAGAGCGGCUUACAAGUCAUAAGUACAUACAACAUACUACAUAAUACAUAACUAGCAUAGUACUAUUACAUCAUUCAUAACACUAGUACUACAUAAUAUUACAUUAUUGCUAGGGGAGGGGUGCUGAUGUCACAGGGGACAAGAUGUCAAUGUCCUCCUGGCUCCCCUUCUUUAUUCUGGUCCCAGAGUGACCGUUGGU